AGUGAACGCUGGCGGUAGGCCUAACACAUGCAAGUCGAACGGCAGCACAGUAAGAGCUUGCUCUUACGGGUGGCGAGUGGCGGACGGGUGAGGGAUACAUCGGAAUCUACUUUUUCGUGGGGGAUAACGUAGGGAAACUUACGCUAAUACCGCAUAUGACCUACGGGUGAAAGCAGGGGAUCUUCGGACCUUGCGCGAUUGAAUGAGCCGAUGUCGGAUUAGCUAGUUGGCGGGGUAAAGGCCCACCAAGGCGACGAUCCGUAGCUGGUCUGAGAGGAUGAUCAGCCACACUGGAACUGAGACACGGUCCAGACUCCUACGGGAGGCAGCAGUGGGGAAUAUUGGACAAAGGGCGCAAGCCUGAUCCAGCCAUACCGCGUGGGUGAAGAAGGCCUUCGGGUUGUAAAGCCCUUUUGUUGGGAAAGAAAAGCAGCAGGUUAAUACCCCGCUGUUCUGACGGUACCCAAAGAAUAAGCACCGGCUAACUUCGUG
rnacentral:rRNA from 1 species